GCGCCCCGGGCGCCCCGAACCUCGGGCGUGUGCAAGGACCCCCGGGGCCACCGCCUGGGCGGCCGGCGCCUCAGCCCCCCAGCGGAAGGGAAAGGAGACUGAGGAGGGGAAGAAGCAGUAAACAGCUCCAGCGUCCGGGCCUCGCCUCAGAGAGAGCCCCGCUCCCCAGGCCCCGCCGCCGGCCGUCGGGACCCCCCGCUGUCCCCGGGGCCGCGCUGCCCGGGACCCGGAGCACCCGAGGGGAGUCCAGGCCUCUCCCCGGAUGGCUCUGGAAGCUCCUGAAGCGACCCGGGCAGCGGAGAACGGGGAAGUCAGGACUUACCUGUCAUUACUUUCUACGCCAUCUUGGAUCCACUUGUCAACGUCCCCACAAAGCAUUAUGGGGAUGCAAGGACGCAAGCAUGAGCACGCCUGAGAGCGGUCCCCCAGCACCGGGUCCUUGCUAACGCUCGCGCUUCCCGCCACGCGGCAUCCGCCACGCACGUCGCACCCGCGCGGGGGGACAGUGCCUGUAUCCUGGGAAGCCAGUCUGGGUCCCCCGGAUUCCAGGAACUCUGUGAACGCCGAGUCAACCCGCCAGCGAAGCGCAAUUGGGGUUUGAGAAGGUUAAGCUAAACGCAACUUUACCCCCAGUUUUCUCAGCUUUGCGCAGUCUCCUCCUCGAACCGGGUAAUGUGAUCCGCGACCCUCUAGGUCGGAGGACCCCUCCCCUAGGAAUGUGGCUUUCGGCUCUGUAGGGUCCACUGGUUAGGGUCCAAACUGCGGACUGUGACUUUCCCCGGCAGGGCGGCGACCCCAGGCGGCGGGACAAGGUAGAAGGAGGGCGCCACGCUGGCUCGGGGCAGAGAGAGGAGGGGGAUGUCCAGAGUGGCUCCGAGGCGACUAGGGCGCAGGAAGUAGGAGGCGACCGUGCGCCGGCUACAGACCUCAACGAGCAUCCCGCGGGCAUCUGCUUUCUCGCUGCAAGACAAGCCGCGGGCUCUCUCCGCCCCUCCGGUUUGCUUCGGGCGUGCGACACCUAGCCCAGGUGACCAACCCCGUUGCUCCCUGAAUUACCAGCUCCUUGCAGCCCUUGUCCUGCCAGAAAUGGAGGUCUGUUGAUUAACUCCCCACCCCCACCCUGUACGUUCCCUUUCCAAAGCCCCCAGUGUCAGCAUUGCUGAGUUCGGGGACCUCCGGUUGCUUGCCUACCCCGAACAAGAUUUGGUGUUCAAAAGAAAAUCCUCCCAAGA